rnacentral:rRNA from 1 species
AGUGAACGCUGGCGGUAGGCCUAACACAUGCAAGUCGAACGGCAGCACAGUAAGAGCUUGCUCUUACGGGUGGCGAGUGGCGGACGGGUGAGGAAUACAUCGGAAUCUACUUUUUCGUGGGGGAUAACGUAGGGAAACUUACGCUAAUACCGCAUACGACCUACGGGUGAAAGCAGGGGAUCUUCGGACCUUGCGCGAUUGAAUGAGCCGAUGUCGGAUUAGCUAGUUGGCGGGGUAAAGGCCCACCAAGGCGACGAUCCGUAGCUGGUCUGAGAGGAUGAUCAGCCACACUGGAACUGAGACACGGUCCAGGCUCCUACGGGAGGCAGCAGUGGGGAAUAUUGGACAAUGGGCGCAAGCCUGAUCCAGCCAUACCGCGUGGGUGAAGAAGGCCUUCGGGUUGUAAAGCCCUUUUGUUGGGAAAGAAAAGCAGCAGGUUAAUACCCCGCUGUUCUGACGGUACCCAAAGAAUAAGCACCGGCUAACUUCGUGC